CCUGGGAACACUCUCUGUCUGGCGAUCCUUUCUUCUGGGUUAUUUGGUGGGUCCUGUUCCUCAGGAUAGCUCUUGUGUUACUCUCCUUCCUGAACUCAAUAGCGGCAUCACAAGAUAAAAUGGGAUGUGCCCUACCAGCCCCUAUGAUAUCAGUGUAAAUAUGGUCCCAUUGUCCUGGCCCUCCAGGAUUGUUAGAAGUGUCUCUUCAAAAAAUGCUGGAUUGGGAUUGGAGUCAAAACAAGGAAUGGACAGUUUGGGAAUAUGUAACACAGGAAAUAAAUUCAAUAGGAUUAUUAUUAUAGUUCCAACAUUUUUAUUACUCUCCUAAAAAAGAGUUGUUUAAAAAAUUUUAAAACUUAGAAAUUAUUCCUUUAGCAUAUCUGCAAGGUAUUGCAACCGCAUCUCUUGAUUUUUUUUUCUUGAUGCUACUUCUUUCUGUUGACUUACUGAAAGUCCUCUUUGCUCCAUGCUACAGUUCUCUUCAUUCUGUGGAGGUGAUUAUUAAUUUAGCCAUUCAAAGAGCAUUGUGAUUUGUCUUCUCCAUUUCUUUCUUGAGGUAUUUAUCUGAUGUAAAUCACUGUUCUAUUGAACAACACAUUAUUUUUGUGCCAUAUUUUGAUUGUGAAUGAUCCUUGUUUUUAAGAAAAGGAAGCAAAAUAGAGCAAAAAAAUUCACUGUAUGAAUGGACAAAAGAGAAUUUUAAAAGCCCUGUUUUAAAUUGUCAGUACUGCAACUGUCAUCAUGUACAUGCUUAGGAGGAUAAAGUACUGUAGGCCUUUUUUCAUUCAAAUAUUGGUAUCCCCUAUAAAAAUACAUAUGCAUAAAACGCUGAUUCUUUAACUCUGUACACUGUGCAAGUCAAGGGCCCUGCAGAAAUUUGCAGUACAGACACUGCUAUCCACUCUGGAGUAAAAAGGCACACUGAUAAAAGAUAGUCCUACAUCUAUUGCAAGUAUCCUACUUGCCUUCCUAACAUUAUGUAUAGGUUUGAAAGUGUGGUAAAUCACUUGAGUGUUAAAAUUUUAUUGACUCUGCCAAGAUAGAACUUAUAUUGAGGUGGAUUAUAUGUGUUUAAGUUAAAAACAUUUCUCACUGUGUUUUGUGUAUCUCACUUCCUAUCGACUUUUAUUACCAUCUGAUAUGGUAACAUAAGCUUAGUAUAGCCCACCAAUAACCUAACUACCUAGACUCCUUCAAUAGUACUAAACAAAACCUGUGGCCAAUUAUAUAGGUCCUUGCAGAAAACAUACAAAAGCUGAACUGGCUAUGCACAGAUAUGAAAUGCUGAUAUUCAAGUAAUCUCUGUAACUGGAAGCAACCUUUUUUAAAUUCUACCUAUAGUAAACGCAUUAGAACAGUUCUUGCCUUUCCUGAGGCGCUUUAGAAUUUAGUAUUAAAAAUAGGCAUUUACUUGAGAUCUGAGUAUUUUCCUAAUUCAAAUUCUGAGCCCAAAUGCACUGUUGAAGUGUAAGACUGAGAUACAAGACCUGAAUCCUAGUCAUUUGGAAAGGCAGCCUUUACUGUGAGUGUAAAAUAAAUAAAAAUAUCAGAUUAACGGGAAAUGAUUCACGGCCGUAUCCCAAGUACAUCCCAUUGGUAUAAAGUGUCAUAGCAUAGAGAUAUCAACCUGGGGCUUAAAAUAGUCUGCCUGUGCCAGGACAACUUCUCCUACAGGGCCUAUUUGACUGCAAUUUGGGAAUCUGUGAUGAACUCUGCUGUAUGUUCAAUAUACCUUCAGUUCUGAAACUGAAGCUUUAUUUUACCUCCUCCUCUUUUCAAAAUAACUUUUUUCCUCCUUUCCACAUUCCUUAGUGCUGCUAAUGGGGGAUGGCAGCUGUCACGAGAUCUGGUAGCUACAAGAUUCUUUUGUCAAUGGGAAUAUUUUCCUGCUGAGCUUGACAGCCAGAAUGAAAUAUUUUUAUAUCAUCUUUAUGAGCACUGUAAUGUUUCUCAUGAUAAACUAGAUACGUCCAUUUAAACUGUUAGCUCACUUAAUUGAUUCAUCUCUUAUAUUUCAUUGUGACUUUACAACUUGAGAAUAAAUUUUCACUUUUAUUGGACAGCUUUUAACUAGCUCUUAUUAAAGGUUGUCUAUCAAGAGGGUGCAUGAUGUUGCACUAAAUCAGUAUGGCAUCUGACGUGCUAACAUGUGGACAAAGCUAGUUGUAACAUAAGUAGAUAUGUAGGAAAUAGAUAAGUAGAUAGGAAAUAGAUAAGUAGAUAUGAAGGAAAUGGUAGAUCAGCAGCACAACGGGGACAACUACAUAUAUCUGAGACUAGUCUGUCUUUGUUUUUUUUUUUUUGGCGUACUUAAUGAAAGGGAAGAACUUUUUUGGCUGAAUUAGUAGCGUCUAGGUUGAAAUCUAGCUGCGCAUGAAGUAGUUGUUUUAAAUGUGUGUAACUGACUUCAGAAGUGCAACAACAAAUUUGUGGAUUCCCUUAAAACUUAUGAACCUGUGAAAACUUAUGAUUGGAAGAAACUUAGGAUCUCUGGGGCCAGAAGUUAACUUGGUAUUUGGAGCUGUAGACUUUGAAUUACAACAAUUUUCAAUGAUCUUAAGUAUUGUUCUCUCAGAUUUUUAUAUUGGAUGAUGAAGUGUCCCUAGAGAACAAUGGGGUCUCACUCCUAGUGACCUGGGCUUGCCUAUCUCCAAAAAUAGAGAGGAGGAGAGUGUGUGCUAAGGGAUCUGACACUGGGACAAGUGCGAGUCUACGAUUGACUUCUGCUGUAUCUCUUGCUUUGUCGCUCCCAUUCAGUGGGCCAGUUUUGCAGAGCUGCUCACUUGUAGAGCUCUAGAGAUGUAGCUUUAGCAGGAGGAGAGUGUGGCAGACCGGCAAAAGCUGUGCUGGUGACCCAGUGCACCUUGUCAGAACUCUCAGGUUUUUUGUAGAAAAACUUAGAACAAGUCAGAGCAUGCUGCAGGUGAGAUCUUUUUCUGCUCUUAUUUGAAAAAGAUGGAAAAUUGUUUUUUCUUCUGCAACUUAUUUUUCUAAUUUAGUGAAUGCCUAAGCAAGCAAGGGAGAUGCUUCUCUUGACUGUUACAUUAUGGCUCUCCUUUCGUAAUGUAACAGUGUGGUUUUCCUAUAUCCACUCAACACAUCUACUAAAGGAGACAUGGGAAAACAUGGAGGAUGAAGUUCUGUUUCUUUAAAAUUUGGUGGAAGGGACAUUAUUCAUUCUUUCCAAAGCAUGUAUCAUCUGCAAAUGUAGUAUGUCCACUUAAAUACUUAUACAUUUCAGUGCAAUAUCAUUUUGAUACACUUUAGACACACUCCUAACACAGUGAAAUACAUCAAAAUAGGUUGUAGAAAGCUUAAUAGUGUUGAGAUCCUCUUAAGUGAGCAGAUGUGGUGUCAGUUUGUGUGGAUGUCUUUUACUGGUACCUGUAUAUGUAGACAGAGAAACAUAUGCCAGAAAACAGGACAAAGAGGAAAAAGUUUUGUGUUGAAAGAUAAGUGUGAAAGUCUCCAGGAACCCAUAAGCAAUGGGGACCUGUGGUGCUAUUGUAUGCAUGAGAAAUGGUAAACUUAGGACGCUGGGAGUCAGUGAAACUCUGCAAGCCCACCUGCACUCUUUAGCAUGAAUGACAGGCAGUAUAAUUCAGACCACAUCCAAGAAGACAGUGGCAGCUAUAUGCAGAUCAAGUCAUCAAGAUUAGCUACAUAUCUAUUGAAACAAACAGUACCUUGAGAGGCUUUCUGACCAGCCAUUGAUGAAUCCAUAUAAUGUGUUGCUUCUGGAUAAACACCAGGGUUUGGUCUACCAACUUUAGUUCCAUUAAAGUAAUUGUGUGUGUAGGUGUACAGGAGGGGAUAAGUAAAUAAUAUCAGGUAACUAUUCACAUGGUGAAUUCAAUAACAGCUUAUUUAUUAGAGCGUCUUUAAUAGGCAGUAAUCUGUGCGUUGUCUCAGUCUCAUAUGAGGUAAAGUGUUAUUUACAGCAAAUGACUACAAUAGGUACUUCUGACUUUAAAAUACACAUUUUAAUGAUAUAUGUAAAUUGCGAGCACAGCUUUCACCGUUAAGUUUAAACUUUGGUUUUGGAAGUUCAGACUGAAGCGAAGCUACCAAGAAUCAGUAUGUUGAUACAUCUGUAAGGUGGUCUUAAACAGAAACUACUUCUAAACCUCUAAAGAAUGUCUACUGUGGAGGAGAGGCUUUAUGCAACGAAGUUAAAGAUUGGAUUUAAGUUUUGACUGGCUUGAAAUAAAAGCAAAAAGUAUGGAAGAAAGGCUAUAAUUAUUGGAAGAACAUAAUGUGAUGCUUAGACAGGAUGUGAAAUUCACUGAGGAACAUAUUGCAGCUAUAAUUAGAGAUAGUGUUUCAGUCACUUUAAAAAUGAGUCAUUAGAGAAUGCAUUAAAAAGUAAAAUUAUACAUCUGUUGGGUCUCCCAGUUGGGACGGAAGCACAAGACCUAAAAAGGAGAUGCAAAUUUUUCUUCUAAGGCACUCUGAGGUUAAAUUCCAGAAGUGAAGCACAAUUAAAGCUUUGCAGUUGGAAACAGAUCAAAAACCAGAAAUAUAGGGUGGCUUGCAAUACCUUCAGUAUAUACUUCUAGGAUAUAUACAGGAGUACUGAUAAUCUUAUUUCUACAAGGAGUUGCAAUUGAUUGAUUAAGUUUUAUAGUGAAUUCCUCUUGGCUUUCAUCCUUGCUCCUAAUCAUAUGAGUGAUGAAGGUAGAAAUAUUUGCAGUUUGUUCUUGUAAUGUACACAAAAUAAGAACAGUUGAGUGACUUAUAGUCCCAGUCCUUCUGUGUUCAUCCAUAUCAAAUGAACUGGAUGGAGAACAGUUUUCACUAUUUGUUGCUCAACUAUAAUAGAUAAUUUUCAAUUAAAUAUUUCUAAUCAUACUAGGGUUAUGGGUGAGAAGCACAGAUGUCAAUUUUUGAUUGCGUUGGGUUUUUGCAAAGAGUUGAAUUUCCUAGGGGAGGAGAAGCUUGUCAGAAGGAGGUCAAUGCAUAUACUUGGCUCCACAUAUUUCUCAGGCUGUUUGCGUGAAGCAGUUCUCCAAUAAAAUAUAUCCACUAGCACGUUUAAUGAAGUAGUAAGUUAAAGGAAAAUGAGCUAUGCAGUAAUAAGAGAAUUUUUGUAUCUGGUCCUACAGUUUUUUCUCUUUUCAGCAUCUAACACUGAUUAUUCUCUAGAUCUUUUUCUUUCUUAUUUCAAAAUAAUCUCUUUUGAAAAGUCUUACGUUUUCAUCCACAGUUGUACCACUGACUAAAUUUGUGUAGAGUUGAAAUAAGGUAACUCUGUAUCAGAGGUCUAUUUGAAAAAAACAGUAACUUACAGAUCUGAAGUCUCUAAUUCUGCAUGAGCAAUGCAAUUGCUGAAUACUAGGGAAACUAUGGAUGCAACACUGCUUAUAAACUCCUUACUUGGAUCCAUUUGUUUAACUUCUAAAACUUUUUGUUGAGUGUGAACUGUAAACGCAAU